UGAUGUGUAAUAUUGUCUAAUCCCCGAAGUAGUGGUAAGGUCUGCGGUACACUUUACCCUCCCCAGACUUCGCUUGUGGGAUUCAUUGGGUAUGUUACUGUUGUAGUUGUUGUGUAAGGUUGUCCAAAUUUUGAGUUGGGUGGGUUCAAGAACUUGUUUGUUCAAUUGAUAGAAAGAUUGAAUCUUUAGCUGUAAUUUUAUUGUAAAGUGUAAUGUGUGCCUAAAAUUUGAGUUGGAAGAGUUCAAGAAUCAGUUCAAUUAACAGAAAUAUUGAAUCUUUAACUUUAAAGAAUAAUGUUUGUAGUUUUAGAGGUAGAAUGGACACUCAAUAAGUAGUUGCAACUUAGCUUUGCUUUGUCCCAAAUCAUUUCAAGAUCCCAACUCUCAAAAUCUUUUUUUUUUUUUGCUGGAAUGAAGUAAAGGCUUGUUUUUGUAGUUGUUGCAGGGAUUUCACUGUUGACCUGUACAGAUGUCCUCAAGUUUUUAAGUUGGGUGAUUUCAAGAACCAAUCCAAUUAACAGAAUGAUUGAAUCUUUAGCUUUGAUUUUAUUGCAAAGUGCAGUGUUUGCUAAGUUUUAAGUUGGAUGAGUUCAAGAAUCAGUUCAAUUAACAGAAAGACUGAUAUUUUUCAGUGUAAGUGUUGAGUUGGGUGAGUUCAAGAACCAGUUCAAUUAACAGAAAAAACUGAAUCUUUAAAUGUAAUUUUGCUGUGAAGUGUAAUAUGUGCCUAAGUUUUGAGUUGGGUGAGUUCAAGAAUCAAUUCAAGUAGCAGAAAGACUGAAUCUUUAGCUGUAAUUUUGCUGUGAAGUGUAAUGUGUGACUAAGUUUUGAGUUGGGUGAGUUCAAGAAUCAGUUCAAGUAGCAGAAAGAUUGAAUCUUUAACUGUAAAGUUAUUUUUGAGUUGGUUGGGUUCAGGAACUUGUUAAAUUAACAAACAGUUUGAAUCUUUUAGUUUUACUGUAGAGUGUAAUGUUUGCAUAUGUUUUGAGUUGGGCGAGUUUAAGAAUUUGUUCUUUUGAAUCUUUAACUAUAAUUUUACUGCAAAGUUGUAUAGUGUGCUUAAGUUUUGAGUUGGGUG
rnacentral:lncRNA from 1 species